GGGAUGGACGUACCUCUGGUGUACCAGUUGUCCUGCCAAGGGCAUGGCUGGGUAGCUAUGUACGGAAUGGAUAAGCGCUGAAAGCAUCUAAGCGCGAAGCCAACUUCAAGAUAAGAUUUCCCACCGCAAGGGUAAGACCCCAGAAAGACUAUCUGGUUGAUAGGUCGAAGGUGUAAGUGCAGCAAUGUAUUUAGCUUAUCGAUACUAAUAGGUCGAGGACUUGACCAAU
rnacentral:rRNA from 1 species